rnacentral:rRNA from 1 species
UACAGAGGUCUCGAGCGUUAGGCGGAAUCACUGGGCUUAAAGCGUGUGUAGGUGGAUGCCUAAGUACCUUGUGAAAUCCCACAGCUUAACUGUGGAACUGCUUGGUAUACUGGGUGUCUUGAGUCACUCAGGGGCGAGCGGAACAAAUGGUGGAGCGGUGAAAUGCGUAGAUAUCAGUUGGAACGCCAAUGGUGAAAACAGCUCGCUGGGGGUGUACUGACACUGAGACACGAAAGCCAGGGGAGCGAACGGG